AAAUAUUCCUGUACCGAUGUGUAGUGCGAUGUGGGGACGGAGAAGGUUAGCUCAGCCAACUGUUGGAUAUGUUGGUUCAAGCCUGUAGUCGUGCCUGGUAGGCAAAUCCGCCGGGCUUAGAUGAGGGGUGAUAACGAGUCUGCUUGCAGACGAAGUGAGUGAUACCCAGCUUCCAGGAAAAGCCACUAAGCUUCAGCUACACACGACCGUACCGCAAACCGACACUGGUGCGCGAGAUGAGUAUUCUAAGGCGCUUGAGAGAACUCAGGAGAAGGAACUCGGCAAAUUGAUACCGUAACUUCGGGGGAAGGUAUGCCCCAAGUAGGUGAACUCGAACAGAGGGAGCCCAACGGGGUUGCAAAAAAUCGGUGGCUGCGACUGUUUAAUAAAAACACAGCACUCUGCAAACACGAAAGUGGACGUAUAGGGUGUGACGCCUGCCCGGUGCUGGAAGAUUAAAUGAUGGGGUGCAAGCUCUUGAUUGAAGUCCCAGUAAACGGCGGCCGUAACUAUAACGGUCCUAAGGUAGCGAAAUUCCUUGUCGGGUAAGUUCCGACCUGCACGAAUGGCGUAACGAUGGCCACACUGUCUCCUCCUGAGACUCAGCGAAGUUGAAAUGUUUGUGAUGAUGCAAUCUCCCCGCGGAAAGACGGAAAGACCCCAUGAACCUUUACUGUAGCUUUGUAUUGGACUUUGAACAGAUCUGUGUAGGAUAGGUGGGAGGCUUUGAAGUGAUGUCGCUAGAUGUCAUGGAGCCAACGUUGAAAUACCACCCUGGUGUGUUUGAGGUUCUAACCUAGGUCCAUUAUCUGGAUCGGGGACAGUGCAUGGUAGGCAGUUUGACUGGGGCGGUCUCCUCCCAAAGCGUAACGGAGGAGUUCGAAGGUACGCUAGUUACGGUCGGACAUCGUGACGAUAGUGCAAUGGCAUAAGCGUGCUUAACUGCGAGACUGACAAGUCGAGCAGAUGCGAAAGCAGGACAUAGUGAUCCGGUGGUUCUGUAUGGAAGGGCCAUCGCUCAACGGAUAAAAGGUACUCUGGGGAUAACAGGCUGAUACCGCCCAAGAGUUCAUAUCGACGGCGGUGUUUGGCACCUCGAUGUCGGCUCAUCUCAUCCUGGGGCUGUAGCCGGUCCCAAGGGUAUGGCUGUUCGCCAUUUAAAGAGGUACGUGAGCUGGGUUUAAAACGUCGUGAGACAGUUUGGUCCCUAUCUUCCGUGGGCGCUGCAGAUUUGAGGAAGCCUGCUCCUAGUACGAGAGGACCGGAGUGGACACACCUCUGGUGUAUCGGUUGUCACGCCAGUGGCAUUGCCGAGUAGCUAAGUGUGGAAGAGAUAACCGCUGAAAGCAUCUAAGCGGGAAACUCGUUUCAAGAUGAGAUCUGCCGGGGCCUUGAGCCCCCUGAAGAGUCGUUCAAGACCAGGACGUUGAUAGGUCAGGUGUGGAAGC
rnacentral:rRNA from 1 species